GAGUGUGAGGGCGAUCUGGCUGCGACAUCUGUCACUCCACUGAUCACCAGGGUUGAUUUGGCUGAUCUGGCUGGCUAGGUGGGUGUCCCCUUCCUCCCUCACCGCUCCAUGUGCGUCCCUCCUGAAGCUGCACGCUCGGUGGAAGAGGACGACCAUCCCCGCUAGAGGAGGACCGGUCUUUGGUCAAGGGUAUACAAGUAGCUGCGCUCCCCUGCUAGAACCUCCAAACAAGCUCUCAAGGUCCAAAUGAUGUCAUCAACACGCUUUUGGUUUCUGGUGAUCUUUUUAAAAGGGACCUUCACUGUGUGAAGUCCAAGUCU
rnacentral:snRNA from 1 species